CCAAGACUACACAGAGAAACCCUGCAUUUCUCAAAAACAAAAACAAACAAACAAAAAAACCAAAACAAACCAAAAAUGCUUUGAAGAAUUCAAGUCACCAGAUUUCCUUGGCGUUUCACAUGCCUGCUUCCUUAACAGUGGCCACUGGAUUAGGUGGUGCUAAACCCCAGCUAAUGCCUGGUACUAUUCACUGGGUGGUUGUUCAUACUUUAAAAAUUACUAAAAAUGAGCUUUUAUAACAAUUUUUAGUGUUUUAUAAGAUGUCAGGUUUUUUAUGAUAUGUAUUGACAGUUUUCUUUAUGGAGUAUUCAUCACUUGUUUGGUCUUCAUUUGUAAAGUCAUCUUAGUGCCUGCUCUGCAUUCCACAGUAAGCUGACACAUGCUACAGUGUGCACAUGCUACAGGACCCACAGCAGGGUCCAUCCUUUACACUUCAGGUGGUGGGGGUACCUCGUGGUAUUUGCAAAGGAAUUUGGAACUUUUCAGGUUAUAUUGCUGAUAUAUUGUGAUCAUCUGCAAGUUCCACUGGUUUUAUAUCUUUUUAGUGCUUUUCCACAGAAAUGAGUGGACUCAAAUUAGCUAAAACCAGUUUGUUCUACAUAGCCAUACAUAAUAUGUGAGAAUUAUAUUUUAAUACAUUUAAUAAAAUGAUGGUUAAAUAUUUUAUCCUUGUAUACCAGAGUAAACAGGGAACAGGUUUGGAGAGACAAUUAUUAGCUCUGUGGAGUAUUACAAACUUAAUAUAUUGUUUUGUAUAGAAACUCAAUGUUUUUACUAUUUCCCUAAUACCCUAUGCCAUUUUUACUAUCCUUUCUGGUUCUUAACCUCUCGCAGUCUCCCGUCUACAGGCAGGCCUGCCUGUUCUACUCAGUUCUGAGCUGCUUUUAUCUAGAACAGCUGGAGUUCCAGGAAUGCUCCUCUGGGAUAGAAGUACUUUUGGCCACAUUAAUGCUGGUUCAGUUAGGCCACUUGACUGCUGGAAUGGUUGGCUCAUUUUGUUUUUGCUUUUGUUUUUAUUUGUCCUUCCAUAGUUCUUUUGACCAUCACAGUCAAAAACAAAAUCAACUAGGUAUUAAUAUAUAUAGGAAUAAUACAGAGUUUGGGGUCCUUCAAAAUAAUUUGACUACCUUGUUAAAGUGAUUUAGAGUUAAGAGUGUUGGCAUGUACCUUGUCCUAGUAUUGGGAAUGCAAGGUACAUGGUCAUGAGUUAGAAGUUAAACCUUUCUUGGAAGUCUGAAAUCUAAAAGCUUCGAAAUCUGAAACUUGAGGCCAUUGGCAUGAUGCCACAAGUAGAAAUCCCACCUAACUGAGGGCUAACAGUUAAAGCAGGGGCAUCAGAAUGCUAUGCAUUGCUUCCUUCGUAUGUAAAACCUGCAGGAAUCGCUUUUCCUAGAUCUGUCAUUUGCUGACUGUGGCAGCAAGCUCCAGUAGAUCAAUUAAUUCCAGCCUGAUCUACACAGUGGACUUUAGGGUAGCCCCAGGGCUACAUAGUGAAGCCCUAUCUAAUCAACAAAAACAAAACCCACUUACUAUACAUAUACAAACAUCCCUGAAUUCUACUAAAAAUUGUAGGAUCCAAAACAUUUCCACGCAGUGUGCCAUUGGAUGUUUAAUGUGAAGUAAACAUUAAUUUAAUAGAAAUAUUUGGGGCUGUUAGGCCACUCUGAUGAAGCAAUAAAAGGAACUAUAUAUAUAUAUAUAUACAUAUAUAUAUAUGACCAGAUAGCAUCUCAUAAGACAUGUUGGGACCUGGGAAGUAGGUACAAGGCUGUAGAAAGUCAGACUGGGACUGUAGAUCUAUUUAAGAGUUAUUGAGAUUCUUGGCAGGGUAUUCAUGCUGGUUAAGUCUUGCGUUGUGAUUUGUGCCUCUAGUCCCAGCAGCUUGGGAGGAAGGCAUGGCAAGAGUUCAGAGCCAGUUUGGUGCUAAGCCUUAAGCCUGAUCUCUGUGACCCCCAUGGUGGAAGGAAAGAACUGACUUCCCAGAUCUCUGAUUUUCACAAUUUGCAUUGUAUACACUAACCCAACAUGAAUGUAAAAAUAUUAAAGGCAUUUGGAUUUGGUUUUAAGAUAACUUGCUACUUGGAUUGAUUUCAAUUUGAAGCGCCUUACAGUCCAAGCAGAGAAGAAUUAAGGCUUUAUGGGCUGAGAGUAGAGAAGUCAACAUCUGCCAGUUGGUACAGGGUAGAACAUAUGGGAGCAUGCACAAAGAUUGGAGCCCAAGCAACACAGAAGACCUGUGGAUUAAUUAUUACUGAAUUAUGGUUAGGACUUUGGUUAGUUGCCUGUUGGGAGUCUAUGGGAAAGAAAGGGAAGGGCUGAUGUUUGGCUUUUUUAAGUCAAAUUAUGAUAAUUAGAAUCAAUGUCAUGAUGGAAGGUUCUUGCAACAUUUAAAAGUAUUUACCACAUAAAAAUUGAUGCUUAGGGAAAAAUACCUUCUCUUAUUGUCAUUAGUAAAAGACGUAGCAAUUGGGCUAGAGAAAUGGCUCAGUGGUGAAGAGUACGUGCUACUCUAGCAGAGGACCCCUGUUCAGUUCGCAGCACCCAUGUCUGCAAUCUCACAACCAGCUUCUGACGAUCCAGCAAACCUUUUUGUCCCCUCUGGGAAGUGCAUUCAUGUAUACAAAUAUACCCGGACACAUAUACAUAGUUAAACAGAAUUUCAAAAGGUAGCUGACGAUAAUGAAAAGGUGAGACACACUGGGCUGUGGUGGCACACUCCUUUAAUCCCAGCGUUUAUGAUGCAGAGGUAGGUGCAUCUCUGAGUUGGAGGCCAGCCUCGUCUACAGCCAGGACUACACAAACACUGUCUUGAAAAGCCAAAAAGGAGGGGGGAAUAAAAGGUGAGACUGAUCACUUGCUGGUAAAAUGUUUGUAGCUGAACAGUGCUGACAUGUUCAAUAAACAUGCAUGUAAAAACGUGGCACCGUGUUGAGGCUGUGUUUACUUGGAUCCAUGGAAGACCUUCCCUCAGAAAACUGCAGCUGCUCACAGUGUGCUCCAGAUGGUGUGUUUAUAAUACAUGCUCUUGUUUUUGAUGAGUUAGUUUUCAGCAUGAGGAAACUAAAAAUCAGAGUAGACUAACUUUGUUCAUAAGUUAGGUAUAGAAUGCCACAUAACUAGUUCCUGUCUGCUGGCCUCCCUACCUCACUAUUCAGGGGUAGCAUUACUGGUCUUCUGUGUAUUCCAUAAGUUUUCAUGCAGGCAUAGGACACUUGAUAAAUUUCAGGACAUACAUAUGACACACAUAUUGUACAUUAUUUCUCUGCAAUAUUUUAAACUUAUUUCAGACCUCAUGAUAGGCUGUCUUAUAUACUCAAAAGGUCUUUGGAACAGUUAUGUGUGCCCCCGUUCUACCAUAUGUGGGCAUGUGUUGUGCGAAAUUGUUCAUAGAAUAAACAGUGGAGCGACUUAGUUAUUUGGGUCAUAAAUUCCUUUUGAUGUCUAUUCUAACUGAUGGGAUUUUUUUAUUCUCUAUUAUUCCAACCAGUUUAGAACCUAAGAUCAGUAGAGAUAUUGGCAAAGCAUUUCCAAAGCUCUUGGUCAUUCUCAUCAUGGAAGCCUCUUUAGAUGUUUCUUUUCUAAUUUGCUCCCAUGUAAUGAAGUUGACAACCCAAAUCACUGCUUGUGAGCUGGUUUGUAUAUGUGGUUCGAAUAAGACAUUUUACUCCCACCUACUCCUGCUCAAAGUAUAAUCCACCUCCUUGUCACUGGAGAUAUUUGUGAUGAUUUUGCCUGAGAGAUGAGAAAACACUGGGUGUGGGCCAGUUUGUAUUUUAGGUCGUUAUUUCUGGAGAAUAAACUGGAAGAAGGCCAGGAUGAAAAGCAAGAGGGUGAGAGGUGGCAGCAGCGAUGUGGAAGAUCGUGACAAGGGAUGGAAGACAAAAUGGGCCCAGCAUUAAUUUGGAAAUAAGCCAGGUGUGGUUGUGGGCCCCUUUAAUCCUAGCACUUGGAAGGCAGGCAGAGGUAGGUGUAUCACUGAGUGCCAGGCCAGCCUGAAACAGAGUAGUUAGUGCCUGUCUUCAAGAACAAAGUGGAGUUGGGUGGCCGUGGUGGCACGUGCCUUUAAUCCUAGCACUCGGAGGUAGAGACAGGCAGUCUGUGGAGGGAGUUCCAAGACAGGCUCCAAAGCUGCAGGAAACCCUGUCCUCAAAACCAAAUUUAAAAAUAAAGUGAUGUCUUCUGGAGGAUGAUUGUGAAACUUAGACAAAACUGAACUGCGUAAUGAAACUGUCCCCAAAACUUAAAACAGAAAAUCUAGGCCUAGAAGGUACUAAAGAGCCUUGGACCUGCUCCCCUAGACAAGGAGAAAUGGGUUGGGGGUCCUGCAGAGAAAGGAAACCCAAGUGAGAAAUGAGAUGGUUGCUGUUAACCUUGAGAUCCUUUGUAGUUUUUGUCUGUCUGGGUUUGUUUUGUGGUCACUUCAUCUAAGAAGAGAAAGAGUUUGGAGUGGGUGAAACCUCAGGCUUAUUUCCUCAGCCCUGCUCUGCUCUGCUCUUAGCAGUUCUGUCCUCGCUCUAGCAUUGGGUUGUGAGUGUUUUCCCUUCUAGCUCCCCGUCGAAUUAAAUUUUUGUUGUUGUUUUGGUUUUUGGUUUUGUUUUAGGAGACAGGGUUUCUAGUGUGGCUUUGGAACCUGGCCUGGAACUUGCUCUGUAUACCAGCCUGCCCUCGGACUCAAAGAGGUUGUUAAGACCACAUGAAACUGCUGAAAUUCCAGACAAUGGUCUAAUGUAGAAGAGCUUAAAGCCAGCCCUAGCUGGCCUGGAAGUCUGAAACCAAUCUGGCCUCAAGUUCAUCUGCCUCCACCUGCUAAUGCUGGGAUUAAAGGAAAUUCCAUAGUCUCUUGGAACAGAUUUGUCUGAAGGCAUGCACUUGUCUGCAGGAUCGCUGCUCAGGUGUGGUGCUGUUGACCAGCAGGGAGGGUGUUGCCUGAGACCUAAGAAGCAACUACAUGCAGGACACAAAAGGAUCAAAGAAAGGCUUGUGCCACCACAGCAUGGCCUAUGUAGCCUUCAAAGAGGGAUAAAAUACAUUUUUUUUUUAAAGCUUGUAAGUGGUCUUGUCAUUAAAGCACCUGCUUUAUAGUAUAGAUUAAAAGGAAACAUAGAAAAGAAAUACAGAAAGAACAUAAAGGAAGCUAAAUUACUGUCUGAUGUACUUUUAAAUAUAACAAAAGUGGCAUGAGUCUACUCUCAUCACAAACUAGGAAAAUGCCAUUUCAUUGGGUAUGGUGAGUGUAAGAGUUGGCACAACCUUGGACAGGGCUUGGUGGUGCACUUGGAGACAGGCAGAUUCUCUUAAUUUGAGGACAGUUUGGUCUGCAUAGUGAAUUCCAAGAGAGACAGGGCUCAAAUAAAAAGGUAUAUUGUAUAUAGAGCCACUGGAUUUGAGAAGAUCUACACAGGUAAAAAUGUAUUGACUGCUCAAGGCUUGGUGAGUCUAGUUCAACAAAUUAUUUUCUUUAGGGCUGAAAUCUUUCCCUACUCUCCCAGGGUUUCUCUUUUUAGCCUUGGCUGUCCUCGAACUCACAGAGAACUAACUACCUGCCUCUGCCUCCUGAAUGCUAGGAUUCAAGACUGAGCCACCACUGCCCGGUGGGCUGAAACCUCUUAAAAAGCACACAGACAAAUAAUACAAGGUGACCCAGGCCUGGUAGGACAUGCCUAUAAUCCUGAAGCAGGAUUAUAGGAUGGAGCCAGCAGGUAUUCUGUAGGAAGAGCUUGUCUAAACAAUGCCUGUGUGUACAUGUAUGACAUUCCUAUUUACUGAUGGAAGUUUUGUGUCUUACAGGUCACAGGCUUUGGGGGAAAAAAAAAAGACCUGAAUGGCCCAGCAAUUUGCCAUAAGACAUAUUUCUACAACUCAGGAUUUUUUAUUUUGUUCAGACAGGUUCUCGGUUAAGUUUCCAACUCAUAUGUAGCCAAACAUGUCCUUGAGCUUCUUCCUUGCCUCCUUUUCUUCACUUUGGUCAGUGUAUUCACUGUACAAAGCAAUGCACAGUAAGCUCUCCUGCUUCCAUGCUGUGACUGCAGCUGACUCCCCAUCUCCAAGAGUAUCCAAUUCAUUUUAGUUGCAUAGUAAUGAAUUGUUAGGAAAGGGUGCAUGCUAUGGGUAGGCAUGGCUGACCCUGAACUAGUUAGCCAGGAGCCACCAUAGCCCAGCUUGAAUCUGUUUUUUUCAAAGACUACUCAAAAGACUAGUAGAAAAUUUCAAGUUCAAAAGCUUUUAAUUAAAUAGUUCUCAUAUGUACUGUUCCACACUGUGGAAAUAAACUAUGCAGAACAUCGAACAUUCGAACAAUGGCACAAACACAUAUAGACUAUGUAUUUAUAAAGGCCCUGUUGUCCUUACCAGGCAACAAACAGGCCUAAAUUGCAAGUUUAUAGGGGAAACUAUAUUUGAACAUUUCAGAUGCGCCAGGAUUCCACACUGUUUCAAAGACAGAUCUGGUCUCAGUCCUCAGGUCAGUGCAGCUGCACUCUGUAUGCACCUAUUAACAACUUGACCUAAAAAGAAAAUGAGUGUUAGUACACAUGAAAGCUCCCACCUUGUAAGAAUAUUGAGUUGCUAUUUUUAGUUAAAAAGUGGCUGUAUUAAAAAAAAAAAUCCAGCUUCCUUUCAUAAGGAGAUCGUGCCUAGCCAUAAUGGCAGAUUAGUACUCAAGUCAGGACUGGAAUGUUCUACAGGGAUGCCCUCAGAGAGCCAACAUCCCUGCCCUAGAUUCGUCUGGACCCUGAGCACUGACAACCUGAGCAGUUACCCUAAAUAUGAAGCAAAGAUUUUCACCUUGGCAAAGGGUGAUUCCGUCAACCUUAUAAACAACUUAUUGGGGCCGGCGACAGGGCUGAACGAGUAAACAAAGUGACUAUCC